UACGGAGGGUGCAAGCGUUGCUCGGAAUUAUUGGGCGUAAAGGGUAGGUAGGUGGUCUCAUUUGUCUGGGGUGAAAUCCUUGAGCUUAACUCAAGAAGUGCCUCAGAAACGGUGAGACUAGAGUUCUGGAGAGGGUCGUGGAAUUCCCGGUGUAGCGGUGAAAUGCGUAGAUAUUCGCAAGAACACCAGUGGCGAAGGCGGCGAUCUGGGAAGAUACUGACGCUGAGGUGCGAAAGUGUGGGGAGCGAACAGG
rnacentral:rRNA from 1 species